GAGAGAGGGGCCAGGAGGGAGACGCGAGGGAGGGAGCGCGAGGCAAGCCGCGAGGGGGGAGAGAGGGGGAGCCGGAGAGGGGGAGGCGCAGCGCGAGUUGGCCCAGGCCGAGGGGGCCGGGGCGCGGGGAGGGCUAGCCGUGGCGGAAUGUGGGGAGCCCGCGGGCCCGGCGCGGGAGAGGGCUAGGUAGGAGGGGCUGUGGGUGGUGAGGGCAGAUGAGGGGAGGCUGAAGUUUGGGGGCGAGCGGGUCUGUGGCAGAGGUGAAGUGGGAGGAGUUUGGGGGAUCCUGGGGUAGAGAUUGGGAUAAUGGGAUUGGAUAUGAAAGAUGGAGCUGCCUGGGGGCUUUGUGGGUGCCUGGUGAGAAGUGAGAGAAGCUUGGGGUGAGGGAUCUGUGGCAGAGAUGGAGCCAGAUGGGUUUGGGGGCUAUUAUCAGAGAGAAUGGGAUGGAAGUUUGGGGUCAUAAGGAGAGAGAAAAAUUGAAAAGAUGACAUAUAUAGAAAGAUGGGGCUUCUGGAAAAAGUAAAGCUUUUGGGGGUGAUUAGUGUUGACAAAAGAGUCAUAAAUAUAAGAAUUGGGGGUGGGGGGAUGAAGGAAUGCUGGAGAGAGAGAAGUCCAGAGGAAACGUCCGUGAGGAGAAUGGAGGGAACGCGUGAGGAACCUUAAGAAGGGAUGAACGAGGUAGCCUCUGGCAGUCAGUCUGCUCCCGGCCGUGAAGCCAGCACCUCCGCCAGCCCACCACCAGUUCCUUCUCCUGGGCUCCCUCCUGGCCCUCCACCAAGCGGCAACAUCUCCCAGGACAAAGGACACAGGGUGAUUUUUGGCAGCAGAAAUUGGGAAGGCCAGAGAAUGGGAGGGAGGCAGGCUGGCAAGCCGGAAGAGCUGGAGCUGGAGUGUGGAUUAGGAGCCCUCAGUAGAGCUCCAGAUUUGGGGUGGGGGUCGGGUACUUGUGGGGCCAGUCUUGCUGGAGGCUAAGGGUGGGCCCUGAAUUGGCAAGAUCCCACCUGCCUUCAGGGAAGGAAGGAGGUUGGCUCUGGAGCAGCUCAGUAGAUUUUUGUCUCACAAUUCCUUGGGCCAGAUUCAACAAAGUUCUGGGAAUACUCAAAAGCUCUAAACAAGAUUCCAGAGCACUGGGGAACUGGGCGCAGGAACAGGAACACUUCCUUGGCCUGGGAAUGAGUCAUCACUCUGAAGUCCCUUGAAUUGGUUGGCACUCACUUUACCACUCC
rnacentral:lncRNA from 1 species